rnacentral:rRNA from 1 species
AUUGAACGCUGGCGGCAGGCUUAACACAUGCAAGUCGAGCGGAGAUGAGGUGCUUGCACCUUACCUUAGCGGCGGACGGGUGAGCAAUGCUUAGGAAUCUGCCUAUUAGUGGGGGACAACAUUCCGAAAGGAAUGCUAAUACCGCAUACGUCCUACGGGAGAAAGCAGGGGAUCGUCGGAUCUUGCGCUAAUAGAGGAGCCUAAGUCGGAUUAGCUAGUUGGUGGGGUAAAGGCCUACCAAGGCGACGAUCUGUAGCGGGUCUGAGAGGAUGAUCCGCCACACUGGGACUGAGACACGGCCCAGACUCCUACGGGAGGCAGCAGUGGGGAAUAUUGGACAAUGGGGGGAACCCUGAUCCAGCCAUGCCGCGUGUGUGAAGAAGGCCUUAUGGUUGUAAAGCACUUUAAGCGAGGAGGAGGCUACUGAGACUAAUACUCUUGGAUAGUGGACGUUACUCGCAGAAUAAGCACCGGCUAACUCUGUGCCAGCAGCCGCAGUAACAC